rnacentral:rRNA from 1 species
AACGAACGCUGGCGGCAGGCCUAACACAUGCAAGUCGAACGAUGUAGCAAUACAUAGUGGCGCACGGGUGAGUAACGCGUGGGAAUGUACCUUUUGGUGGGGAAUAACUCCGGGAAACUGGAGCUAAUACCGCAUACGCCCUUCGGGGGAAAGAUUUACCGCCAAAAGAUCAGCCCGCGUGAGAUUAGAUAGUUGGUGGGGUAAUGGCCUACCAAGUCUACGAUCUCUAGCUGGUCUUAGAGGAUGACCAGCCACACUGGAACUGAGACACGGUCCAGACUCCUACGGGAGGCAGCAGUGGGGAAUAUUGGGCAAUGGGCGCAAGCUUGACCCAGCCAUGCCGCGUGAGUGAUGAAGGCUCUAGGGUUGUAAAGCUCUUUCGCCGAUGAAGAUAAUGACGGUAGUCGGAGAAGAAGCCCCGGCUAACUUCGUGCCAGCCGCCGCGGUAA